rnacentral:rRNA from 1 species
GAUGAACGCUGGCGGCGUGCCUAAUACAUGCAAGUCGAGCGAACAGACGAGGAGCUUGCUUCUCUGAUGUUAGCGGCGGACGGGUGAGUAACACGUGGAUAACCUACCUAUAAGACUGGGAUAACUUCGGGAAACCGGAGCUCAUACCGGAUAACAUUUUGAACCGCAUGGUUCAACAGUGAAAGACGGUCUUGCUGUCACUUAUAGAUGGAUCCGCGCCGCAUUAGCUAGUUGGUAAGGUAACGGCUUACCAAGGCAACGAUGCGUAGCCGACCUGAGAGGGUGAUCGGCCACACUGGAACUGAGACACGGUCCAGACUCCUACGGGAGGCAGCAGUAGGGAAUCUUCCGCAAUGGGCGAAAGCCUGACGGAGCAACGCCGCGUGAGUGAAGAAGGUCUUCGGAUCGUAAAACUCUGUUAUUAGGGAAGAACAAAUGUGUAAGUAACUAUGCACGUCUUGACGGUACCUAAUCAGAAAGCCACGGCUAACUACGUG